AAAAAUCAAGAGUCACACAGGUUAAAUUGAUGUUCAUUUAUCUCAUCUCCUGCCCAUUCCACAAUCGGCAACGCCGCAGUUCAUACCAUUUUUUUUCUCUCCCAAAAUUUCUUCAUACCAAUUGCAAAAACAAGGGAAGAGAAACAGAGGAGCACGACCAAUCUCAAAUCCAACAUUCGGAUCUCUUUGUCCUCCCACAGUGAUCACAACAUUUCAAUUCCGACAGAAGGUUGAGCGUGGACGGGAGACGGAGGAUGUUGA